rnacentral:rRNA from 1 species
UACGUAGGGAGCAAGCGUUGUCCGGAAUCAUUGGGCGUAAAGAGCACGCAGGCGGCUUGGCAAGUCGGGUGUGAAAUCCCGGGGCUCAACCCCGUGACUGCAUCCGAUACUGUCAGGCUAGAGGUAGGUAGGGGAGAUCGGAAUUCCUGGUGUAGCGGUGAAAUGCGCAGAUAUCAGGAGGAACACCGGUGGCGAAGGCGGGUCUCUGGGCCGAUACUGACGCUGAGGAGCGAAAGCGUGGGGAGCGAACAGG